UGCGGGCAGCGGCCAGCCGCGUGCUCUGCCAGCUCGGUCCCAGCCAGGUGUGAGCCCUAGGGGUGGCCGGGGGUGCCAACCACCCAGACUCCAUCAGGCUCCCAAGGUCACUCCAAAUGUCUUUAGAAUAUUUCACAUAAAUGACUUUCUGUCAUAUAAACUAAGCAAGGCAUCUUGAGGAAAUGUUUUCUAAUCUGUAGCACAGAAGUUAAAACAAGUGCUCGCUAUGCAAAAGCAGCUUUCCCAAUUAGAUUACCAUUUCUAAACCCUACUGUGCCAAGCUUUGAACUAGACAUCGGGCUAGAUUACAGGAAAUGUAAGAAUAUGAACCAAGACAGGGAUUAGGUCCACCUUAUUCACUACUGUAUUCUGGCAGCAGAGCUAAUGCCUGACUCGGUCGGUGCUCAAUAAUGACGGAAUGAGUGAAGGCAUGCCCCAUAAUAAAGGAGCUCCCCCUUUGUUGGGGAAGACUGUGAAGUACAUAAUUCAUUAUGUGGCCCUUCCUCUUGACCAGCAUGAAUGAACUAGAAGACCAGCCAGACUGCCAACUGCUCUAACAGAGGUACAGCAAUGGUGCUACCAGCACACACAGGAGUGGUCUGGCCGGAUCGGAAGAGGCUUCACAGAGGAUUUCUGGCCUCAUCCCAAAUCAUACAGCACAAAAUUGGUGAGCGAAAAUUCAUGGAGCCUCGAGAAUUUGUAAAUACAUGUACCGUUUGACCCAGUAAUUCCUUAAUGGAGUCUGAAGAAACACUUGUAUGUGUGCACAAUACCUAUGUGAAAAUAUGUGCAUAUGGACAUAUAUAAAAAUACAUAUAAAAGGAAACAUACACUCCGGACUGUCACCUGUAUUAUCCUCUAGGGAUUAGACAGAGAAGGAAGGAUAUGAUAAACCUCCACGUAACCAUCACCCAGCAUCAUUAGUUACUUUCAUUCAAACAGUUCUUUUUAAAGAACAGCCCGUGGUGUCAGGAAAACAGUAUGGAGGUUCCUCAAGUUGAAAACAGAG